rnacentral:rRNA from 1 species
CAGUAGCCGCGGGAAUACGAAGGGUGCAAGCGUUACUCGGAAUUACUGGGCGUAAAGCGUGCGUAGGUGGUGGUUUAAGUCCGUUGUGAAAGCCCUGGGCUCAACCUGGGAAUUGCAGUGGAUACUGGGUCACUAGAGUGUGGUAGAGGAUAGUGGAAUUUCCGGUGUAGCAGUGAAAUGCGUAGAGAUCGGAAGGAACAUCUGUGGCGAAGGCGACUAUCUGGGCCAACACUGACACUGAGGCACGAAAGCGUGGGGAGCAAACAGGAUUAGAUACCCCGGUAGUCCCUGUCUCUUAUAC